AGAACUCUUAUUUUAGUAUUAUUUAAUAAUUUCCUAAUUGAGUGGAAUUAAUUUUUAUCAUAACUAAAGGGAAUUAACACUAUAAAUAAAAGUGUUCAAUGAAAGGUUAUUUGACCGUAGCCUGUGAAUGAAUGAAAAAAGGACAGAGUCAUAGAGAGAUGAAUUUGUCUUGAUGGAAUUAUUGCCCGUGAAGUGAAAACGCUUGUAGUAGCAGAUAAUUUAAUUAUGUUUAGAGGUGAAUGAGAGGAAGAAGCUAUUUCAUUUACUAUGAUGUAGUAUUAUUGAAAUUUGAGAGUAAUUGGGUUAAUGGGUUGUAAGAAAGCUAUAGCUUGUUGAUAUAAUUGUUAAUUGAUUAAUAAUGCAAGAUGAUAUACCCAUGGAUAUAACCCUAGUGAGAGGGGUGAACUAUGAAAAUAUUGUAUUUCAUUUUAUUUGCUUGCUUUUUAUGUGUUUAACACUUUUUCAGUCACAUCAAAGAGAAUUUGAUAACAAUUGGUGUAGAAGCUUUAAAGAUGAUAUGGUGAGUUGAAGGUGGAAUUGCUACAAUGUAUGUAACAAUGGUUAUACAAGUCCAAGAUUUGUGGAGACUUAAAAAUAAAGUUGAGUUUUUGAUGCAAAAUCAAGCUAGUUGAUGUGAAGAUUAAUUGGAAGAAAGAAGUAAGUUACACUCAACAUAAGUUGAAAUCUGAUAUCUAAAGAUUUGAAAGAUUUAAGCUCUAGCAUAAAGAUUUGAUUUUUGAAGACACCAAAUAAUUUAAUGAUAUGUAUAAUUAGUAGAUUUUGAGUGAAUGUGAAAAUUUGUUAGAAUAUGAUUCAAAAUCCUCGUAACAUUUGAAAAAAAAAAUCCAAAUUAACGUAGGAAAAAUAUUUUUUAAUUGGAUGCAGUAUUGUUUCCUGUGUAGCUUAACACUUAUAUUGUUUCCUAAUGGAAUUAAAAUUGAAUGAAUUAACCAAAACAUAAGCAUUGAAGAAAUGAUAUUGAGUCAAAAAAAAAAUAAAAAAAAGAAAUUCUGGUCCAUUGCAACCCAUAGAUGGAGAAAAAGCAUAAAGUAUAAGAGGAACUCUUGUCUACUCUUGAGAAGACACCACUUAUUUAUUGUGAUAUUAAAAUAGUUGAUAAUUUAGUUAUGUGUACAAAAGAACAAGAAAUCAUUAUGUUUACUAUAUUGUAGUGUGAUUGAGAGUUGGAUGUAAUUGGAUUAAUAAGUUGUUAGAGAUUUUUUUAGCUUAUUGAUGUAAUUGUUACGUAAUUAAUGACAAAAGACGUAUACUAAUAAAUACACCGUUAAUGAGAGAAUAAAUGACAUAAAUAUUGUUGUGUUUUGCUUGUUUCCUUUGACACAAAAAAGUGAAUUUAAUUGCAACAUACUCCUUUUAAGUAAAAAAUAUAUAUAUAUAUCACUCCUUUGCAUAUUAAAAACUAAUUUUUGAAAAAAAAAUGAAAAUCGCAAAUAAAAUUAAUGUAAAUUAAUAUUUAUAAGAAAGAGCAAUCCAUACUCCAAAGUGACUCCACCACCACAUCCUAUGAAUACUACCAUGAGGUAAAAAUUAAAAAAAAAAAUCAU
rnacentral:misc_RNA from 1 species